AGAGUUUGAUCCUGGCUCAGAUUGAACGCUGGCGGCAGGCCUAACACAUGCAAGUCGAACGGUAACAGAAAGCAGCUUGCUGCUUUGCUGACGAGUGGCGGACGGGUGAGUAAUGUCUGGGAAACUGCCUGAUGGAGGGGGAUAACUACUGGAAACGGUAGCUAAUACCGCAUAACGUCGCAAGACCAAAGAGGGGGACCUUCGGGCCUCUUGCCAUCGGAUGUGCCCAGAUGGGAUUAGCUAGUAGGUGGGGUAAAGGCUCACCUAGGCGACGAUCCCUAGCUGGUCUGAGAGGAUGACCAGCCACACUGGAACUGAGACACGGUCCAGACUCCUACGGGAGGCAGCAGUGGGGAAUAUUGCACAAUGGGCGCAAGCCUGAUGCAGCCAUGCCGCGUGUAUGAAGAAGGCCUUCGGGUUGUAAAGUACUUUCAGCGGGGAGGAAGGGAGUAAAGUUAAUACCUUUGCUCAUUGACGUUACCCGCAGAAGAAGCACCGGCUAACUCCGUGCCAGCAGCCGCGGUAAUACGGAGGGUGCAAGCGUUAAUCGGAAUUACUGGGCGUAAAGCGCACGCAGGCGGUUUGUUAAGUUGAGAUGUGAAAAUCCCCGGGCUCAACCUGGGAACUGCAUCUGAUACUGGGAAAGCUUGAGUCUCGUAGAGGGGGGCUAGAAAUCCCAG
rnacentral:rRNA from 1 species